rnacentral:lncRNA from 1 species
ACUAAUUAAAUUGAAUGCAACAUUUUCAUUUGGUUUUUGUAUCCAUAGAAUUGAUUUAAAUGGAGCUAAAUGAAAUGAAAAUCCAAUUCUCAUUUAAAGAGACAAAACCAUUUUGUUCUCAACCUAAUUUGGGCCAAAAUGCAAUAACCUCAACUUUUUGGGCUAUGUUGCAAAAACAUAAACUUUUGGGCCACUUUGUAAAAGCACAAAAGUCCACUACUUCAUGUAAUUACAACUAGAACCCAAAAAUUUCAACAAAUGCAAAAACUUCAUUAAAGGAGCAAAACAAUUUGUCCUUUAAUGAUUUUGGGCCUUUACGUAAAUACGUAAACUUUUGGGUCAAACUACAAAUUACACAAAAGUACCAAAACUUUAUGUAAUUGCAUAAAAGCCCCAAAAAACACCCCACUUGUAGGGUGGCCGGUUUUGGAGAGAAGGGAGUGAUGUGUGUUGAUUUGUAGUUUUAGACAUAAAGUCAUGCAAGUGGUGCAUGACAUAAAUGUCAUGCAAGUGGUGUGUGUGAAAGGACACCCACCAAUAUUUCCAUCACCUUUCUAAACAAAUAUCUAAUACAUUUAAACAUAUGAAAAACAUAAAACAUAAACUUUAUGAAAUAAAUCAAAACACCAAACUUUUUGUUCUUGGCAAAAAUGUCAAGAACAAUGAAGAACACUCAUGAAAAACUCAAAAAAUUUCCAUGAACAUUUUUCACCCAAAAACAUCCCAAAACCAUUCAAACUUAAGGGAAAUAACAUAAAACCAAACUAGGGUACAUAGGGGUUCCAAAAAUCCACCCUUUGGAUUUGGCCGAAAAUUCUCAAAAACAUGGCACCAAAUUUUAGCUCCAAUAUUCAUGCUCAUAUGAACUACAUCUACAACAUUUGA